rnacentral:tRNA from 1 species
GGAAUGUGGCUUAGUGGUAGAGCAUUUGCCUAGCAUGCAUGAGGCCUUGGGUUCAAUUCCUCAAUACCA